GGCUUGUUAGCUCAGUUGGGAGAGCACUGCACCAUUAUUGCAAGGGUCAUGGGUUCAAAUCCCAUGCAAGCCU
rnacentral:tRNA from 1 species